rnacentral:lncRNA from 1 species
UGUUUGCUUCUCGCUGUUAUCCCUCUCACCCCCUCCCCCCAAAGUUUCUGUGGUUUUCCUGUCCUGUUCGUCCUUCCUCAGCAGUCUAUCUGCCUUUCCCUCCCCCUCUGCUUCUCUCCCUUCUUCCAGCUUUGUUUCUGGGGUAGCUGGGAGAAGGGUUUUGUUUGAUGGAUCUAUUUGUAAUGGGUGAGGUCCACCUUUCAGCAGUGCCACUCUCCGCUCCAUCAGUUUAUUGUUAAGGGAUGGACCAUUUCAUCCAACCCAAAAUGCAUGAGAAAAAAGAUUUGCCCAGCUGGAGGCUAACAUGGCUGCUCCUGAGAUCUGGUCAUCAUCAGAGAAAGGAGCACUCCCUGCAUUGCAGAGUCCUAUGCUGCUGGUUUGCCCACCAGACUGCAGGAGUAGGUGAAGUGGGAGUAACUGGAUGGAGAAGACGACCCUUGAUUGUCCUGAAACAAGCACAUGUGAAAACAUGGUUUCGGUCAGCUGUAGGAAUGUAGUAGAGACAAUACAUUGGGUUGCUGACAGUCUAAUCCGGAUGUCUUUUUUAAAACAAUAAGGUACCCUUGCAAGCAUAAAUUAGGGACUAGUUUUGUUUAGGUGAUGUUUCUCAUCAUGGAUAAUUUUAUCACAAAUAAAGCACAGUUAAAAAAUUGUCCUGGUCUCCA